AUUAAAUAGAUCAGUUGAGGUUGAUAUGGAAUUAACAGAGACUUAUGAUCCAAAAUAUGAUAAUACCAACUCGCCAGCAUAUAAAGACUUUGUUAAAAGUUUCAUUUCCGAGAUGGGAACAUAUUAUAAACGUAAAGUGGCACACUUCAAAGAAGUACGGGUUUUUAAAGUGAGUCGCGGACGCCCUUCACCAG